AUAUCUAUAUAUAUCUAUAUCUAUAUAUGUGUGUGUGUGUUUGUGUGUAAUAGACACACACACACACAUAUAUAUAUAUAUAUAUAUAUAUAUACAGAG
rnacentral:miRNA from 1 species